UUAGGCAUCACCUGGUUAACCAAGCUUUUUAAUGAUAUUUUAAGGUCAAAGAAGAUGCCAAAUGGGUGGAGAAAGAGCACCAUGGUACCUAUCUACAAAAAUAAAGGGGAUAUACAGAGUUACAAAAACUAUAGAGAUCAAACUCAUAAGCAAUACCAUGAAGUUAUGGGAAAGGGUGAUAGAACGGAGGCUGAGACAGGAGAUAAAAGUAACAGAGAACUAAUUCGGUUUUAUGCCAGGCAGAUCUACCACUG